rnacentral:rRNA from 1 species
ACGGAGGAUGCGAGCGUUAUUCGGAUUCAUUGGGCUUAAAGGGCGUGUAGGCGGACUAUUAAGUUAGUGGUGAAAUCCUGGAGCUCAACCCAAGAAUUGCCAUUAAAACUGAUACCCUUGAGUUUGGUUAAGGUAGGCGGAAUGUGAAGUGUAGCGGUGAAAUGCGUAGAUAUUGCGCAGAACACCAGUGGCGUAGGCGGCUUACUGGGCCAACACUGACGCUGAGGCGCGAAAGCGUGGGGAUCGAACAG